GAUGAACGCUGGCGGCGUGCCUAAUACAUGCAAGUCGAGCGAACGGACGAGAAGCUUGCUUCUCUGAUGUUAGCGGCGGACGGGUGAGUAACACGUGGAUAACCUACCUAUAAGACUGGGAUAACUUCGGGAAACCGGAGCUAAUACCGGAUGAUAUUUUGAACCGCAUGGUUCAAAAGUGAAAGACGGUCUUGCUGUCACUUAUAGAUGGAUCCGCGCUGCAUUAGCUAGUUGGUAAGGUAACGGCUUACCAAGGCAACGAUGCAUAGCCGACCUGAGAGGGUGAUCGGCCACACUGGAACUGAGACACGGUCCAGACUCCUACGGGAGGCAGCAGUAGGGAAUCUUCCGCAAAGGGCGAAAGCCUGACGGAGCAACGCCGCGUGAGUGGUGAAGGUCUUCGGAUCGUAAAACUCUGUUAUUAGGGAAGAACAUAUGUGUAAGUAACUGUGCACAUCUUGACGGUACCUAAUCAGAAAGCCACGGCUAACUACGUG
rnacentral:rRNA from 1 species